rnacentral:rRNA from 1 species
GUCUACGGCCACGCCACCCUGAACACGCCCGAUCCCGUCUGAUCUCGGAAGCUAAGCAGGGUCAGGCCUGGUUAGUACUUGGAUGGGAGACCACCUAGGAAGACCAGGUGCUGUAGGCG